UGGGACAUCCUAAGCAAAGCAUUUGGAUAUAUCUUCGGAUUAGGUCUUGUUAUGCUACCAGCUGCACUAUGGCCAAGCUUUCGAAUUUGGUACUGGCCAAAGAUUGAUUCUUUACUCCUAUGGGUGUUCCCAAAGUUAUACGUGAAGGACUGGAACAAUCGCCUUAGGACAAGGCGAAGCCAGCAGCGUAGCAAGAAAGCAAUGACUAGCUAGUGACUCCCCUACAUUUUCUUAUGCUCUGUCUAGUUUUAUAUAUGUUAUGAUGCUUAAUCACUAUGUUUUAGAAGUCUUUCAUGUAGAAUGAAAUACAAAACACAAUAUCCUAUUUGAAUUCUAUGCAUUGGACAUUAGGUAGAGUAAUAAUCGUAAGUAAUGCCAAAGACCAAAGUUAUGGAUGAACCUUUGAAGAAUCUUGAUGGCGAGUCAGUAGCAGUCACUGUAGGAAGCCAUUACAUGUCCUCCUCAAAUGAAAUUCCUUGAGCCAUUCCCUUUGAGCUAAGAACACUGUGAAAGUUCAGAUGAACUAACUUAUUUUACCCUGUGUAUGUUGACUAAACAAGAGAUAAUGAUCGAUAUACUUACUCUUCCUUCCUCACAAGCAAGGAUCCACGCCAAACCAGAAAUCGCAUUACCUUGAGGCUGUUUGCCAUCAUGAAGAGCAAAAAAUUUAAAGCUCGGUGAAAAUGGGAUUUCAGAGCCAGAACUUCUACGAAUGCAAUGCACAAUCAGCCAUUUGAUCCUCGCGAAUUUUCCUUCUGGGUUCCAAUCUUUUGAUCGUCUGCUCCCCAACAGAGUAUCCAUCUGAAAGCGGUGGGAGUCUGGGAGAAGUAAAUUACCAACAGCAUCUUAGUCACACUUUCACAGAGUAAUUUGGCAAUAAAGACCGCACAGAGAAUCAGCCUUCCGAGAUGGUGAGAUUAGCUGGCUGAAGAAAUUAGAAC
rnacentral:lncRNA from 1 species